rnacentral:lncRNA from 1 species
UGGUGGCUCCGGUUGUGGCAGGGCCCUUGGCCGAUCCUCCCUACCCUCAGAUCGGCAUCGGAUGAAUCUAUCGAGCCGACCUCGCCUGAUGAGCUCCUCGAUCUCGUCUCGGAGCUGAAUGCACUCCUCCGUGUCGUGGCCAUGGUCCCGAUGGUAGAGGCAAAACUUGUUAGGGUUGCACUUUUUGGGGUGUGUGCGCAUCAUUUUCGACCUCGACAGCUGCUCCCUGACCUC